rnacentral:rRNA from 1 species
GCCUACGGGGCGCAGCAGUGAGGAAUAUUGGUCAAUGGUCGGGAGACUGAACCAGCCAAGCCGCGUGAGGGAUGAAGGUACAGAGUAUCGUAAACCUCUUUUGUCAGGGAACAAAGGCGGGGACGUGUCCCCGGAUGAGUGUACCUGAGGAAAAAGCAUCGGCUAACUCCGUGCCAGCAGCCGCGGUAAUACGGAGGAUGCGAGCGUUAUCCGGAUUUAUUGGGUUUAAAGGGUGCGCAGGCGGUCUGUUAAGUCAGCGGUCAAAGCCCGGGGCUCAACCCGGGCCCGCCGUUGAAAAUGGGAGG